UAAAAUAAAUUUGUGACAGCUAUAUUACUCUCCUCGAUGAUAUAUUACGGUAAGUAUCAAACAAAUGUUUAUUCGAUACUUAACUAUUGUACGUUGUGUUUGCGACAUGGCUAAAGUACUUCCCCUUCGUUUCGAAAGCUGUAGAAAUUUAGAAUUUUCAUGACCUUUCAGUUUUAUCUAUGAUGACCGACUCAUCUUUAUGUUUACAGUAUAUAAUCUACCAUAACCGAGUUCCUAUGGAGACCUUUAGAUAAAAGUUGUCAUCCCUACCCGGUGCACGAAAUAAAAGGUAUAGACAUUGAGCCGAUGCAGAUAGAACAUGACGAAAUAAGAGGCGGUGCCAAUCUAAGCGUUUUACAUGUCCACAGAGAAGGAAAUAACAGCUCUGUCAUCGGCUUUGACAACGAAACCGAGUCCGAAGUUGAAAGAAUUUUUUGGACUUACCUUACAUGUACGAUAGCUAUGACAGCUACCACCACCACGUCGUCAAACUGUAAGCAUCCUGUAUGCGAUGCCCGACUUAACGCCAAGUGCAAUGUUUUUCUGUCGCGAAACGAUUUGAUUAACAAUAGUUAGGUAUGCAUCUAUCUGUUGCAAACAGCUGUUUGUUGUGUGGAGAUUGUAGGCCAUCUAGUGUUGACAAAGUACACUAUAAGUGCUUCAUUGAA